GAAAUAUGAAAUCCGAAGGCAAGCUUCUAACUUAGCCUUUAAGCGACGAAAUUUCGUUUAUAUUUCU
rnacentral:tRNA from 1 species